rnacentral:rRNA from 1 species
GGGUUGUGAGGUUAAGCGACUAAGCGUACACGGUGGAUGCCCUGGCAGUCAGAGGCGAUGAAGGACGUGCUAAUCUGCGAUAAGCGUCGGUAAGGUGAUAUGAACCGUUAUAACCGGCGAUUUCCGAAUGGGGAAACCCAGUGUGUUUCGACACACUAUCAUUAACUGAAUCCAUAGGUUAAUGAGGCGAACCGGGGGAACUGAAACAUCUAAGUACCCCGAGGAAAAGAAAUCAACCGAGAUUCCCCCAGUAGCGGCGAGCGAACGGGGAGGAGCCCAGAGCCUGAAUCAGUGUGUGUGUUAGUGGAAGCGUCUGGAAAGGCGCGCGAUACAGGGUGACAGCCCCGUACACAAAAAUGCACAUGCUGUGAGCUCGAUGAGUAGGGCGGGACACGUGGUAUCCUGUCUGAAUAUGGGGGGACCAUCCUCCAAGGCUAAAUACUCCUGACUGACCGAUAGUGAACCAGUACCGUGAGGGAAAGGCGAAAAGAACCCCGGCGAGGGGAGUGAAAAAGAACCUGAAACCGUGUACGUACAAGCAGUGGGAGCCUCUUUUAUGGGGUGACUGCGUACCUUUUGUAUAAUGGGUCAGCGACUUAUAUUCUGUAGCAAGGUUAACCGAAUAGGGGAGCCGAAGGGAAACCGAGUCUUAACCGGGCGUUAAGUUGCAGGGUAUAGACCCGAAACCCGGUGAUCUAGCCAUGGGCAGGUUGAAGGUUGGGUAACACUAACUGGAGGACCGAACCGACUAAUGUUGAAAAAUUAGCGGAUGACUUGUGGCUGGGGGUGAAAGGCCAAUCAAACCGGGAGAUAGCUGGUUCUCCCCGAAAGCUAUUUAGGUAGCGCCUCGUGAAUUCAUCUCCGGGGGUAGAGCACUGUUUCGGCAAGGGGGUCAUCCCGACUUACCAACCCGAUGCAAACUGCGAAUACCGGAGAAUGUUAUCACGGGAGACACACGGCGGGUGCUAACGUCCGUCGUGAAGAGGGAAACAACCCAGACCGCCAGCUAAGGUCCCAAAGUCAUGGUUAAGUGGGAAACGAUGUGGGAAGGCCCAGACAGCCAGGAUGUUGGCUUAGAAGCAGCCAUCAUUUAAAGAAAGCGUAAUAGCUCACUGGUCGAGUCGGCCUGCGCGGAAGAUGUAACGGGGCUAAACCAUGCACCGAAGCUGCGGCAGCGACACUGUGUGUUGUUGGGUAGGGGAGCGUUCUGUAAGCCUGUGAAGGUGUACUGUGAGGUAUGCUGGAGGUAUCAGAAGUGCGAAUGCUGACAUAAGUAACGAUAAAGCGGGUGAAAAGCCCGCUCGCCGGAAGACCAAGGGUUCCUGUCCAACGUUAAUCGGGGCAGGGUGAGUCGACCCCUAAGGCGAGGCCGAAAGGCGUAGUCGAUGGGAAACAGGUUAAUAUUCCUGUACUUGGUGUUACUGCGAAGGGGGGACGGAGAAGGCUAUGUUGGCCGGGCGACGGUUGUCCCGGUUUAAGCGUGUAGGCUGGUUUUCCAGGCAAAUCCGGAAAAUCAAGGCUGAGGCGUGAUGACGAGGCACUACGGUGCUGAAGCAACAAAUGCCCUGCUUCCAGGAAAAGCCUCUAAGCAUCAGGUAACAUCAAAUCGUACCCCAAACCGACACAGGUGGUCAGGUAGAGAAUACCAAGGCGCUUGAGAGAACUCGGGUGAAGGAACUAGGCAAAAUGGUGCCGUAACUUCGGGAGAAGGCACGCUGAUAUGUAGGUGAAGUCCCUCGCGGAUGGAGCUGAAAUCAGUCGAAGAUACCAGCUGGCUGCAACUGUUUAUUAAAAACACAGCACUGUGCAAACACGAAAGUGGACGUAUACGGUGUGACGCCUGCCCGGUGCCGGAAGGUUAAUUGAUGGGGUCAGCGCAAGCGAAGCUCUUGAUCGAAGCCCCGGUAAACGGCGGCCGUAACUAUAACGGUCCUAAGGUAGCGAAAUUCCUUGUCGGGUAAGUUCCGACCUGCACGAAUGGCGUAAUGAUGGCCAGGCUGUCUCCACCCGAGACUCAGUGAAAUUGAACUCGCUGUGAAGAUGCAGUGUACCCGCGGCAAGACGGAAAGACCCCGUGAACCUUUACUAUAGCUUGACACUGAACAUUGAGCCUUGAUGUGUAGGAUAGGUGGGAGGCUUUGAAGUGUGGACGCCAGUCUGCAUGGAGCCGACCUUGAAAUACCACCCUUUAAUGUUUGAUGUUCUAACGUGGACCCGUGAUCCGGGUUGCGGACAGUGUCUGGUGGGUAGUUUGACUGGGGCGGUCUCCUCCUAAAGAGUAACGGAGGAGCACGAAGGUUGGCUAAUCCUGGUCGGACAUCAGGAGGUUAGUGCAAUGGCAUAAGCCAGCUUGACUGCGAGCGUGACGGCGCGAGCAGGUGCGAAAGCAGGUCAUAGUGAUCCGGUGGUUCUGAAUGGAAGGGCCAUCGCUCAACGGAUAAAAGGUACUCCGGGGAUAACAGGCUGAUACCGCCCAAGAGUUCAUAUCGACGGCGGUGUUUGGCACCUCGAUGUCGGCUCAUCACAUCCUGGGGCUGAAGUAGGUCCCAAGGGUAUGGCUGUUCGCCAUUUAAAGUGGUACGCGAGCUGGGUUUAGAACGUCGUGAGACAGUUCGGUCCCUAUCUGCCGUGGGCGCUGGAGAACUGAGGGGGGCUGCUCCUAGUACGAGAGGACCGGAGUGGACGCAUCACUGGUGUUCGGGUUGUCAUGCCAAUGGCACUGCCCGGUAGCUAAAUGCGGAAGAGAUAAGUGCUGAAAGCAUCUAAGCACGAAACUUGCCCCGAGAUGAGUUCUCCCUGACCCUUUAAGGGUCCUGAAGGAACGUUGAAGACGACGACGUUGAUAGGCCGGGUGUGUAAGCGCAGCGAUGCGUUGAGCUAACCGGUACUAAUGAACCGUGAGGCUUAACCUUACAACGCCGAAGGUGUUU